UUCGCUUCAAGUAAAUGCAGUUUGUUAUGAUCAUAAACCUAUUUUGAAGUUCAAAACUUAAAAAUAUUUAAUUUGUUAUUUUAAGCUAAAUUUAUUUCUAAAACUGUGGUUGUCUAAGCCCAAUGGUGUUAUUUACCUUGAUUUUUCUUUGCUUUUGCGAGUUCGUUCUUGGUGAACAAUUUCGCUAUUACUUGGAUAUAGAGAAUUUGAUGGAUCCCGAUUGGAAUUACGCUACGCACACUGUCGGUACUAAAAUCCAGUGUGCAUCCAUGUGCUACAGGCAGCCAGAAGACUGCUUUUACUUUGGGUACGAACAGAAAAGCUGCUACCUCCUGAGAGAGAGCGUCGACAGACACCGGUGCUCCAUCGAAAACUGCAGCAGAGAUGGAAUGAAAAUAUAUAAAGUAAUAAUUCCCCCCUUAGAAACCACUACACCCAUGACUACUUCAGUAG